rnacentral:pre_miRNA from 1 species
AUCCGCAGCGAUCUGUGACCAUCACGAUUUGAUGUGAUGUGCACGAUUGUCUACGGGUGA